rnacentral:misc_RNA from 1 species
GCGUCAUUAUCAACCAUCAAGCUUGGCUUGUCGUUGGACCCCGGUCGUUAAAAAGACCGGUCCGAAAGAUAAUGGACGGGACCUGUCGCCCCUAGAUGCAACGAGCUUCACAGCACGCAUCAAACGGUCGGCGGCCCCGCCCUCAAACCCCAUUUUCUAAGGUUGACCUCGGAUCAGGUAGGAAUACCCGCUGAACUUAA